rnacentral:rRNA from 1 species
ACAUGCCUACAUCAUAGUGUUAAUGCACUAGCUCCCAUUAGAAUUUUGCAGUUAAGUGUGCUCAGGCUAGAGUAGUACUAGGAUGGGUGACCGCCUGGGAAGUCCUAGUGUUUUACAUGCC